GACGAACGCUGGCGGCAGGCCUAACACAUGCAAGUCGAACGAGUGGCGGACGGGUGAGUAAUGUCUGGGAAACUGCCCGAUAGAGGGGGAUAACUACUGGAAACGGUCGCUACUACCGCAUACUAUCGGAUGUACCCAGAUGGGAUUAGCUAGUAGGUGGGGUAACGGCUCACCUAGGCGACGAUCCCUAGCUGGUCUGAGAGGAUGACCAGCGACACUGGGACUGAUACACGGUCCAGAAUCCUACGGGAGGCAGCAGGGGUGAAUAUUGCACAAUGGGCGCAAGCCUGAUGCAGCCAUGCCGCGUGUAUGAAGAAGGCCUUAGGGUUGUAAAGUACUUUCAGCGGGGAGGCGUUACUAGCAGAAGAAGCACCGGCUAACUCCGUGCCAGCAGCCGCGGUAAUAC
rnacentral:rRNA from 1 species